AACUCUCAACAACGGAUAUCUUGGCUCUCGCAACGAUGAAGAACGCAGCGAAAUGCGAUACGUAGUGUGAAUUGCAGAAUUCCGUGAACCAUCGAAAG
rnacentral:rRNA from 14 species